rnacentral:misc_RNA from 1 species
UCUUAGCCCCGAUUGGAGCAAUUGUUUGAGCUCAUUUUUUUGGAUUCGGCGGCGGCUUUGCCGCCGCCGAAACUAAAAAAUAGCGAGUGCGGAAAGCGGGAUCAAGC